CGUAGGCUGGGUCACGUUGCGCCUGGGCGUCUAUUUCCGCUUCCGUGCGGUGACAGGCUCUUGCUUGCCGGAGGCUGGGUCACGUAGCUCCUGUGCGUCUAUUUCCGCUUCUGUGCAGUGAUAGGGCUUACUUGGAUGUUGCUGCUGGCUGCGCGCUGCUCAUCGAUACAUAGCCGAUGCCGCCUACUGAACUGUCGCUUUUGUAUAGCGUCCCGUUCCCUGCUCCACGCCACGUUGGCCGGGACUGCCCGAUUGGGUGGCCGACAGUAGCGGCGCAGCGGCGGCCAAUCCACCUAUAAAAACCACUGCUGCUUUGCUUCCACGUUAUUACCGCCUUGCCAGGGCCAGCUCGGACCCGAUCGCUUUGCCGUUCAUUCGGCUAGCGAUAGUUUGUUCCUUUUCCUGUUGUGUCGCUAUCUCUUUUGUUUAGUUGGUGCAACUACAUUUUAAAGUGUGUAUGUUAUGUUAUAUAAGAGUUUUUGCUGAUUUCUCCUUGUGUUUACUUAUUAUAGAUUUUGUUUAUUUAAUUAAUUUCUCUUAUUAUUUUGUUUCCAUUAUGUUUUCUAACUGGUUGCUCUGCGAUCCCCCUCAAUUCAGGUGCUGAGCCUACGGUGUUGGACUGGUGUUCUGGUCACGGUGUCCCUUUUUGUAUUGUGUUUGCAGUUGGUUUAUUUUUCAUUUGUUUUACGCGUGGUGUUCCUGGGACCCCCUUUCCUUUGGAUGCAGGUGUUCACAGUAGGUCUCAGCACUGAUUGGAUCUCAGCACUCAAUUUCCCUCCUUAGUGAGUAAUUAUUUAGUAGUCUUAAGAACAGACAUUUUGUAUAAAUAAAAGUAUUUUUGUAUGAUCGAACUGCCGUCUCUGCCUCAUUGCAUAACGGACCUCAGUGCCUUUCCUUCAUUUGUGCUAGUCCACUUAAAAUAAAUCUCUGGGUGAAAUUCCCAGGGUGGCGUUGUCUGGCAAUAAUUAAUGCUACCGAUACUGCCUUUAAGAAAAGGGGCAUCACUCCAUAGCUCGUGCUGCCACACCUACAUAGCAAGCGUCUCUAUCGAUUGGACCUCGGUUAUCACAACGUUGAAACUGCAUUAACUAAUAUAUAUAUCUAUAUGAAUAUGACGCUACAACUAACGCCAAAUGAGAGGAGAUCUGUGUUGAACUGAUUUGGUCUGCUUGUCUUGUUCAGCGAUUGGGCGCAAACACUUCAAAUGCAUUGGCUGAGAGAAAAGAAGGGCGGACAUUAUUAGCAUACUAGAGAAACGCCGUAUUUUACGGCGUUGUGAUGUGCACAAAAGCGCCGUAUUUUACGCGCGGUUUGAUGUUCAAAACGGCGCUUUUUACGGGCGCUCUUGAAAGGCUCAAUUGCGGUGUAAAAAGCGGCGUUUUUUGCGCAUGACGGCGUACAAUACGCAGUUUUUCUACAUUUUACGCGCGUAUUUUACGGCGUAAUGAAGGUGAUACGCGUCUAAAUGAUGCCGCUUUCUGGCGGGGAUGGCUUGCCAUAUACUUGGCAAGUCUGUACUUCAAGCACAGACUUGCGAGCACACGAGUACGUAGGCUACCUGCGAUUGGAACAGCAGCGGACUCGAUCCGUUAACUGUGCUACGGCCUCAUUUAGGCAUAUACUAAUGAACAAUAUAAACAAAUGAUAUAAAACAAAAUCCCAGCCUCUUUCAUUUUCAAAUAGUCUGUAAAUAUUCUGAAUGAAUAAAAAUUGAAAAGAUAUGCG